GAUGAACGCUGGCGGCGUGCCUAAUACAUGCAAGUCGAGCGAAUGGAUUAGGAGCUUGCUCUUAUGAAGUUAGCGGCGAACGGGUGAGUAACACGUGGGUAACCUGCCCAUAAGACUGGGAUAACUCCGGGAAACCGGGGCUAAUACCGGAUAACAUUUUGAACCGCAUGGUUCGAAAUUGAAAGGCGGCUUCGGCUGUCACUUAUGGAUGGACCCGCGUCGCAUUAGCUAGUUGGUGAGGUAACGGCUCACCAAGGCAACGAUGCGUAGCCGACCUGAGAGGGUGAUCGGCCACACUGGGACGUAUACACGGCCCAGACGCCUACGGGAGGCAGCAGUAGGGAAUCUUCCGCAAUGGACGAAACUCUGACGGAGCAAAGCCGCGUGAGUGAUGAUGGUUUUCGGGUCGUAAAAAUCUGUUGUUAGGGAAGAACAAGUGCUAGUUGAAUAAGCUGACACCUUGACGGUACCUAACCAGAAAGCCACGGCUAACUACGUGCCAGCCGCCGCAGUAA
rnacentral:rRNA from 1 species